AUUGAACGCUGGCGGCAGGCCUAACACAUGCAAGUCGAGCGAGCGGCGGACGGGAGAGUAAUGUAUGGGGAUCUGCCAGAUAGAGGGGGAUAACUACUGGAAACGGUGGCUAAUACCGCAUACCAUCGGAUUAACCCAGAUGGGAUUAGCUAGUAGGUGGGGUAAAGGCUCACCUAGGCGACGAGCUCUAGCUGGUCUGAGAGGAUGAUCAGCCACACUGGAACGGAGGCACGGCCCAGACUCCUACGGGAGGCAGCAGUGGGGAAUAUUGCACAAUGGGCGCAAGCCUGAUGCAGCCAUGCCGCGGGGAUGAAGAAGGCCUUAGGGUUGUAAAGUACUUGCAGCGGGGAGGCGUUACCCGCAGAAGAAGCACCGGCUAACUCCGUGCCAGCAGCCGCGGUAAUUC
rnacentral:rRNA from 1 species